UACGGGGGGGGCAAGCGUUGUUCGGAAUUACUGGGCGUAAAGGGCGUGUAGGUGGCCAACUAAGUCCGACGUGAAAUCCCCAGGCUUAACCUGGGAACUGCGUCGGAUACUGGAUGGCUUGAAUUCGGGAGAGGAAUGCAGAAUUCCAGGUGUAGCGGUGAAAUGCGUAGAUAUCGUGGAGGAAUACCGGUGGCGAAGGCGGCACUCUGGGCCGGAACUGACGCUGAGGAGCGAAAGCGUGGGGAGCGAACAGG
rnacentral:rRNA from 1 species